rnacentral:rRNA from 1 species
AGUGAACGCUGGCGGUAGGCCUAACACAUGCAAGUCGAACGGCAGCACGGUAAGAGCUUGCUCUUACGGGUGGCGAGUGGCGGACGGGUGAGGAAUACAUCGGAAUCUACUUUUUCGUGGGGGAUAACGUAGGGAAACUUACGCUAAUACCGCAUACGACCUACGGGUGAAAGCAGGGGAUCUUCGGACCUUGCGCGAUUGAAUGAGCCGAUGUCGGAUUAGCUAGUUGGCGGGGUAAAGGCCCACCAAGGCGACGAUCCGUAGCUGGUCUGAGAGGAUGAUCAGACACACUGGAACUGAGACACGGUCCAGACUCCUACGGGAGGCAGCAGUGGGGAAUAUUGGACAAUGGGCGCAAGCCUGAUCCAGCCAUACCGCGUGGGUGAAGAAGGCCUUCGGGUUGUAAAGCCCUUUUGUUGGGAAAGAAAAGCAGCAGGUUAAUACCCCGCUGUUCUGACGGUACCCAAAGAAUAAGCACCGGCUAACUUCGUG